UGACACCUCCAAGAAGAAACGUACUGAGGCUAUAGAGCAGGCCGACCUGCUGCAGGAGGAUGCCAAAGAAGCUGAAGCCCCACGGAGUGUCCUGGAGGAGAUUGGCCUGACAUAAACUCCCUCCAUCACUGACCCAACUAUCUCCCUCUCUCUU